CUGUUACCACGUGUAUCACGUCCUUAUGCGCAUCACGUGACCAGCUGUUCACGGGCGUCUGUUACUUCGAGGGACGCUGACAUGAAUGGAUCGUGGCGUGAUUGACCGGAUGGAAAUUUUCUCUUGAACGAAAAUAUCGAUUGUACAAAAUGGCGAAUCCGAAUCUCACGGAUAUGACGGAGGAAGAUGCGGCGGACUUACAAUUCCCGAAAGACUGCAACCCAGCGAGCAAAACGGCUAAGCUCGUGAGCGACCUAGAACUUGAGGUAUCAGUUCUGAAGGACGAAAUCCUUAUCUCAGAUCCGACAUGUCGCAUGUGUAGGUCGAUCCUCGUGGAGCCGUAUGUGCGUUGCGCCGUGUGCGUGAACGUCGAGAUAUGUCUGCCCUGUUUCGCCAAUGGCCGGGAGAUCGACGCGCACAGGAACGAUCACGACUACUUGAUCAUAAAGAACGAGUUCCCGCUGAUCAACGGCAGCGGAUGGAACGCCAAGCAGGAGCUGAAGCUGUUGGACGUGGUGCAACAAUGCGGUUUCGGCAACUGGACAGAUAUGGGUCGCAUGAUGCACGGUAAAUCUGCGGAGGAGUGCAAGCAACAUUAUCUGCAGCACUAUGUGGACAGUCAGACGUUAUCGGGUCUACCUAGAAUAAAGGAGAGCCGAGCUAGCUUAUUCGGCAGCGAUCCGACUCCUUAUUUGUACAAGCUGCAAGACCUCGAGGAGCCGCCUAGGUUCGCGCCAAACGCGGUCAACGCUAAAUUAUUAGCGGGUUACAACGCGGCGCGCUCCGAUUUCGAUGUGAAUUUCGACAAUCACGCGGAGUCGUUGGUAGCCGACCUCAAUUUCGACGAGUUUCAACCCGGCGAUUAUGAUUACAAAUUAGGACAGGCUCUUCAAGUGGCUAUGGUACAGGCUUACAACAACAGGCUGAGGGAGCGAAUGCGUAGGCUAGGGAUAAUACGUAAACACGGGCUAAUCGCCUUUCGCAAAACCAUGUUUUGGAUACAGCGAUACGAAAACACGAUCACCAGGCCGCUGGCGGAGCGGCUGCUGACCUUCAUGCAACUAGUGGACGGAAUGGACUUUGACUACAUUAUGGAAGGCUUGCAUCGCGUCGGCGAGUUGAAAAAUCAGAUCAACACGCUGUUGGAGUUCCGCAGAAACGGACUGAAGUAUUUCCACAGCGUGGGCAUGUUCCAGAAACUGAGUAAGCUGCGGCAGGAGAAUGAGAGAGAGAAAAAGCAGUACCUGAGCAAUCCAGAGUACAGUUGGAAGCACGUGGUGCAGGGUUACGGCACGAACAGCACCAGUCCGACCUCAAGUGUGAUUUCGCAGCGUAAAAUUGCGCCACCUCUUCCGAUAAAGGGCCUGCCCAGCUACGAGAAGCUGACUACCAGUGAGAGAGAGCUCUGUUCCGCCAUAAGGAUAGUGCCGUCCUGUUACUUGGACUUUAAACACCUCUUGAUCGCCGAGAACAAGAAGAAUGGUUCCCUCAAAUUGGCGCAAGCCCGUGUAUUGCUGAAAAUCGACGUUAACAAAACGCGGAAGAUAUAUGAUUACUUGACGGAAGAGGGAUACAUUAAUAAACCAGCUUCGUGAUGAUAUUUUAGCAGCGAAAUAGUACUUUUAUGUAUAUAUGACCUGACGUUAUUGUGAUAUUAUUUCUAUUGGACGUGUGUACACAUGCUUCCGUACCUGCAUAUGGAAAGAGAGCUUGACAGUUGCUUGAAUAAAGUUUUCUUUUAAUUUUUUAAAUUUUGACCAAUUCGUCAAGAAGACGAUACAUCUUAUCGUAUUACAUAAGAAUUCGAAAAUGCGGAGACCCUGUUGAUAUCGGAAGUUUACAUGCUAUUGGAACACAGGAAAGCUCAGAACGAAUCGGCGGAAGAGGAGCAAGAGUUUUCCGAGGUGUUUAUGAAGAGCCUGACAUACACGAAUCGAUUUGGCAAACUGAAGAAUAAAGAGACAAUCACAG